UACGGAGGGUGCAAGCGUUAUCCGGAUUUACUGGGUUUAAAGGGUGCGUAGGCGGCCCUGUAAGUCAGUGGUGAAAUACUCCAGCUUAACUGGAGGGGUGCCAUUGAUACUGCAGGGCUUGAGUGGAGUCGAAGUAGGCGGAAUUGACGGUGUAGCGGUGAAAUGCUUAGAUAUCGUCAAGAACACCGAUAGUGAAGACAGUUUACUAGGCUUCUACUGACGCUGAGGCACGAAAGUGUGGGGAUCAAACAGG
rnacentral:rRNA from 1 species